AUCUCCACACCGCGUACUGUCU
rnacentral:miRNA from 1 species